rnacentral:rRNA from 1 species
CAUCUAAGCGUGAAGCCCCCCUCAAGAUGAGAUCUCCUAGCAGAAAUGUGAGAGACCCCUUAGAGACGAUGAGGUAGAUAGGGCAGGGGUGGAAGUGCAGCGAUGCAUGGAGCUGACUGUCACUAAUCGGUCGAAAGCUUGACCUAA